AUUGAACGCUGGCGGCAGGCCUAACACAUGCAAGUCGAACGGUAACAGAAAGCAGCUUGCUGCUUUGCUGACGAGUGGCGGACGGGUGAGUAAUGUCUGGGAAACUGCCUGAUGGAGGGGGAUAACUACUGGAAACGGUAGCUAAUACCGCAUAACGUCGCAAGACCAAAGAGGGGGACCUUCGGGCCUCUUGCCAUCGGAUGUGCCCAGAUGGGAUUAGCUAGUAGGUGGGGUAAAGGCUCACCUAGGCGACGAUCCCUAGCUGGUCUGAGAGGAUGACCAGCCACACUGGAACUGAGACACGGUCCAGACUCCUACGGGAGGCAGCAGUAGGGAAUAUUGCACAAUGGGCGCAAGCCUGAUGCAGCCAUGCCGCGUGUAUGAAGAAGGCCUUCGGGUUGUAAAGUACUUUCAGCGGGGAGGAAGGGAGGAAAGUUAAUACCUUUGCUCAUUGACGUUACCCGCAGAAGAAGCACCGGCUAACUCCGUG
rnacentral:rRNA from 1 species